rnacentral:rRNA from 1 species
GCCGGGAGUGCCUGAAGUGUGCAACCGCAAGGAGCGCCCUAAGGUAAAACUGGUGACUGGGGCUAAGUCGUAACAAGGUAGCCGUACCGGAAGGUGCGGCUGGAACACCUCCUUUCUGGAGC